UAGCCCAGGAUUUGGGUAGGCAGCAUUCAAUCCUUCUCUGCCUUUUUCCGUCAACCGUUGAGGUCUUUCUUCUGAAACAGAGAAGAAAUACACAAAUCAGACUUGUCCUCUUGGAAAUGUGGUCCAGAUUUCUCUACUCCCAAGCUCCAAAAAC
ensembl:misc_RNA